rnacentral:ncRNA from 2 species
GGAUGCCACUAGGGGAGCGAAAGCUGAGACGGGGGACACCCCGAACCCUUUGAACCUGACCUGGGUAAUGCCAGCGUAGGAAAGUGGCGCAUGGGACCC